GACAGGAUCUGUCCCUAGUACGAGAGGACCGGGAUGGACAUAUCUCUGGUGGACCUGUUGUCCUGCCAAGGGCAUAGCAGGGUAGCUAUAUAUGGACGGAUAACCGCUGAAGGCAUCUAAGCGGGAAACCCACCUGAAAACGAGUAUUCCCUAUCAGAGCCGUGGAAGACGACCACGUUGAUAGGCCGGGUGUGGAAGUGCGGCAACGCAUGAAGCUUACCGGUACUAAUAGCUCGAUCGGCUUGAUCGUUCUCAUU
rnacentral:rRNA from 1 species